GCACAUGUACUAGAAUAGAUUAAUGUCUUCACACCAUGAGCAGCCAUUGCCUCCAACACUACCAAGGUAUUUGAUGUAAUAUUAUGAUAAUAUCUGCAACAUAAUCGAAGAUGACAUUUGUAAUAAGAGUCAGCAUUUAAAAGGGGUGAAUAUGGAAUUCAAACAUUCCCUCCAAAAUUUAAUUCACACAAAAA